GCCAGAGCGCGCGGCUGGGGACCUGAUGGGAGUGAACCGGCCAGUCCAGGCUCCGCCCCGAAACGCAGCCCCAGGCCCCUCCCCGACGCCCACACCCGGACGCGUCCCCACUUCGCCUUUGUUCUUGCCACCUAGUGGUCCCGCCGUGGCCCUGCAACGACCUCCCGCCUCCCGCUGGGCUCCAAACCAAGCAGACCACGGCCAGGGCUAGAUUGAUUGCAACGCGACACUUUCAGCGACUGCAAAAAUAACAUUUAAUAUGAAACACGCAGAAGAGAAAGCCUGAAGAAAGAAAUCUCUUCCCCUUCCCCGAGAUUACUACUGUCAAUUUUCUGGAGAGAGGAAAGAGAUGGAAACAUCAAUGAUGAGAACCAUCGACCAGCAGCCUCCUGCUUGUCUCCUACUUGGGGGAUCGAGCCCGCAACCCAGGCAUGCGCCCUGACCGGAAAUGGAACGGGGACCUCCAGGUUCAUAGGUCGAGGCUCAACCACUGAGCCACGCCCAUCAGACCUCAAUCAACCAGCAUUCUCCACUAGGAAACUGAUCCUGGAAAGGCCAAAGGUCUUUGAGUGUCUAAAGACUGGAAGAAGGAAAUUGAAAUUCACUGAGCAUCUAUACUAAUACUAUGAGUGGUACUAGAAAUAUUAGAGAUUAGGGGUGAGCACCUCAAUCCCUAACUCCAAGGAGUGCCGCCUGGUAAAGUGUGGCAGAAUCUGGAAUGGGGUUUGCCAUCAUUCUGUUGGAGAAGGAAGGGUGAGCCUUUGGGAAGCUUCUCUGAGAGGUGACACCUGGGAAGGGGGCUGCAUGAGGAGGAGUUUAUCAGGCAGAGGGGGAGAGGAGGUAAAGAUAUAUGGGGAUCUUAUGGGGUGUUGGGUGUGUUGUAUGAAAAUGUAAUCUCCAGCCCUAACCAGUUUGGCUCAGUGGAUAGAGCAUUCGCCUGCGGACUGAAAGGUCCCAGGUUCUA